rnacentral:tRNA from 1 species
UCCGGAGUAGCUCAGUCGGUUAGAGCGCAUGACUGUUAAUCAUGAUGUCGUCGGUUCGAGUCCGACCUCCGGAGCCA